ACGCACGCUGGCGGCGUGCUUAACACAUGCCAGUCGCACGGAAAGGCCCUGCUUGCAGGGUACUCGAGUGGCGAACGGGUGAGUAACACGUGGGUGAUCUGCCCUGCACUUCGGGAUAAGCUUGGGAAACUGGGUCUAAUACCGGAUAGGAGCCAUCUUUAGUGUGGUGGUUGGAAAGUUUUUUCGGUGUAGGAUGAGCUCGCGGCCUAUCAGCUUGUUGGUGGGGUAAUGGCCUACCAAGGCGGCGACGGGUAGCCGGCCUGAGAGGGUGUACGGCCACAUUGGGACUGGGAAACGGCCCAGACUCCUACGGGGGGCAGCAGGGGGGAAUAUUGCACAAUGGGCGCAAGCCUGAUGCAGCGACGCCGCGGGGGGGAGGAAGGCUUCGGGUUGUAAACUCCUUUCGCUAGGGACGAAGCUUUUUUGUGACGGUACCUAGAUAAGAAGCACCGGCUAACUACGUG
rnacentral:rRNA from 1 species